AGAGUUUGAUCCUGGCUCAGGAUGAACGCUGGCGGCGUGCCUAAUACAUGCAAGUCGAGCGAACGGACGAGAAGCUUGCUUCUCUGAUGUUAGCGGCGGACGGGUGAGUAACACGUGGAUAACCUACCUAUAAGACUGGGAUAACUUCGGGAAACCGGAGCUAAUACCGGAUAAUAUUUUGAACCGCAUGGUUCAAAAGUGAAAGACGGUCUUGCUGUCACUUAUAGAUGGAUCCGCGCUGCAUUAGCUAGUUGGUAAGGUAACGGCUUACCAAGGCAACGAUGCAUAGCCGACCUGAGAGGGUGAUCGGCCACACUGGAACUGAGACACGGUCCAGACUCCUACGGGAGGCAGCAGUAGGGAAUCUUCCGCAAUGGGCGAAAGCCUGACGGAGCAACGCCGCGUGAGUGAUGAAGGUCUUCGGAUCGUAAAACUCUGUUAUUAGGGAAGAACAUAUGUGUAAGUAACUGUGCACAUCUUGACGGUACCUAAUCAGAAAGCCACGGCUAACUACGUGCCAGCAGCCGCGGUAAUACGUAGGUGGCAAGCGUUAUCCGGAAUUAUUGGGCGUAAAGCGCGCGUAGGCGGUUUUUUAAGUCUGAUGUGAAAGCCCACGGCUCAACCGUGGAGGGUCAUUGGAAACUGGAAAACUUGAGUGCAGAAGAGGAAAGUGGAAUUCCAUGUGUAGCGGUGAAAUGCGCAGAGAUAUGGAGGAACACCAGUGGCGAAGGCGACUUUCUGGUCUGUAACUGACGCUGAUGUGCGAAAGCGUGGGGAUCAAACAGGAUUAGAUACCCUGGUAGUCCACGCCGUAAACGAUGAGUGCUAAGUGUUAGGGGGUUUCCGCCCCUUAGUGCUGCAGCUAACGCAUUAAGCACUCCGCCUGGGGAGUACGACCGCAAGGUUGAAACUCAAAGGAAUUGACGGGGACCCGCACAAGCGGUGGAGCAUGUGGUUUAAUUCGAAGCAACGCGAAGAACCUUACCAAAUCUUGACAUCCUUUGACAACUCUAGAGAUAGAGCCUUCCCCUUCGGGGGACAAAGUGACAGGUGGUGCAUGGUUGUCGUCAGCUCGUGUCGUGAGAUGUUGGGUUAAGUCCCGCAACGAGCGCAACCCUUAAGCUUAGUUGCCAUCAUUAAGUUGGGCACU
rnacentral:rRNA from 2 species